GGUUUGUUUUGUUGUGUAGGGAGAACUUGCAAUACAGCCUGACACUGACUUUGAAAGUCCAACACCUCAAAGGAGGAGAGUGAGCCAGAGACUUAAAGAGAGAAGGCUAAAGAAGGAAAACCAAGAAGGACAUCAGGAGACCAAAUCCAGUGGCCAGUUACACUUGAAAAAAGAGAGAGCAGAAGAAAAGCAUAAAGGAGCUGAGAACUCUUCUCACGUGUCCGACUUAAUCUCCACUGGUCUAGAGGAAGAUGGGGAGGUCGAGGAGGCCACUGGAGAAAAUCUGCUGCAGGAUUCUCUAAAUCCAUCGAUAGAUCUGAGAUCAAGCAAAACAAUGAGCAAGGAGGAACUAACAGAACUAUUAAAAGCUCAUAGUAAAAGUGUGAUUACUCGAGGACAUAAAACAAUAUACAUCAAUAGAUCAGAUGUUUGGACUACGGCCUUCCAGCAGUUUCACGAGCAUAGAUUUACAUGGAACAAAAGUAUGCUCAUGGUCAGAUAUGUAUGCAGUUCAGACUUA